CAUGCAGUCGAGCGGUAGCACAGAGAGCUUGCUCUCGGGUGACGAGCGGCGGACGGGUGAGUAAUGUCUGGGAAACUGCCUGAUGGAGGGGGAUAACUACUGGAAACGGUAGCUAAUACCGCAUAACGUCGCAAGACCAAAGUGGGGGACCUUCGGGCCUCAUGCCAUCAGAUGUGCCCAGAUGGGAUUAGCUAGUAGGUGGGGUAACGGCUCACCUAGGCGACGAUCCCUAGCUGGUCUGAGAGGAUGACCAGCCACACUGGAACUGAGACACGGUCCAGACUCCUACGGGAGGCAGCAGUGGGGAAUAUUGCACAAUGGGCGCAAGCCUGAUGCAGCCAUGCCGCGUGUGUGAAGAAGGCCUUCGGGUUGUAAAGCACUUUCAGCGGGGAGGAAGGCGAUAAGGUUAAUAACCUUGUCGAUUGACGUUACCCGCAGAAGAAGCACCGGCUAACUCCGUGCCAGCAGCCGCGGUAAUACGGAGGGUGCAAGCGUUAAUCGGAAUUACUGGGCGUAAAGCGCACGCAGGCGGUCUGUCAAGUCGGAUGUGAAAUCCCCGGGCUCAACCUGGGAACUGCAUUCGAAACUGGCAGGCUAGAGUCUUGUAGAGGGGGGUAGAAUUCCAGGUGUAGCGGUGAAAUGCGUAGAGAUCUGGAGGAAUACCGGUGGCGAAGGCGGCCCCCUGGACAAAGACUGACGCUCAGGUGCGAAAGCGUGGGGAGCAAACAGGAUUAGAUACCCUGGUAGUCCACGCCGUAAACGAUGUCGAUUUGGAGGUUGUGCCCUUGAGGCGUGGCUUCCGGAGCUAACGCGUUAAAUCGACCGCCUGGGGAGUACGGCCGCAAGGUUAAAACUCAAAUGAAUUGACGGGGGCCCGCACAAGCGGUGGAGCAUGUGGUUUAAUUCGAUGCAACGCGAAGAACCUUACCUGGUCUUGACAUCCACAGAACUUAGCAGAGAUGCUUUGGUGCCUUCGGGAACUGUGAGACAGGUGCUGCAUGGCUGUCGUCAGCUCGUGUUGUGAAAUGUUGGGUUAAGUCCCGCAACGAGCGCAACCCUUAUCCUUUGUUGCCAGCGGUCAGGCCGGGAACUCAAAGGAGACUGCCAGUGAUAAACUGGAGGAAGGUGGGGAUGACGUCAAGUCAUCAUGGCCCUUACGACCAGGGCUACACACGUGCUACAAUGGCAUAUACAAAGAGAAGCGACCUCGCGAGAGCAAGCGGACCUCAUAAAGUAUGUCGUAGUCCGGAUUGGAGUCUGCAACUCGACUCCAUGAAGUCGGAAUCGCUAGUAAUCGUAGAUCAGAAUGCUACGGUGAAUACGUUCCCGGGCCUUGUACACACCGCCCGUCACACCAUGGGAGUGGGUUGCAAAAGAAGUAGGUAGCUUAACCUUCGGGAGGGCG
rnacentral:rRNA from 1 species